GAAAGAGGAUAAGAGCGAACGGGGGAUGCCUGGGCUUCUGGAGGCGAAGAAGGACGUGGCAAGCUGCGAGAAGCCACGGGGAGCCGCAAGCAGGCUUUGAUCCGUGGAUGUCCGAAUGGGGCAACCCGGAUGGUUGAAGACCAUCCACCGGCACAGCCGGAGCGAACCCCGGGAACUGAAACAUCUCAGUACCGGGAGGAGGAGAAAGAAACAAUCGAUACCCUGAGUAGAGGCGAUCGAAAGGGGCAGAGCCUAAACCGUCGUGUUCAAGGACACGUCGGGGUUGUAGGAGCGGUCAAGAGAAUUCGUCAAGGAACGGGAAGCGCGUGGAAACGCGCCGCGAAGAGGGUGAAACGCCCGUACCGGCAACGAGGACCCGACAGGACUGCCACCUGAGUAGGGCGGGGCACGAGGAAUCCUGUCCGAAUCCGCGGGGACCAUCCCGCAAGGCUAAAGACUACCAGAAGACCGAUAGUGUACCAGUACCGUGAGGGAAAGGUGGGAAGAACCCCGAGCAGGGGAGUGAAAUAGAACCUGAAACCGUUCGUUUACAAGCGGUCGGAGCCAGCGAUGGCGACGGCGUGCCUUUUGCAUAAUGAGCCUACGAGUUGCUUCGUGCCGGCGAGGUUAAGCACCUGAGGUGCGUGAGCCGAAGCGAGAGCGAGUCUGAACAGGGCGUUCAGUCGGUGCGAGCAGACGCGAAACCUAGUGAUCUACCCUUGACCAGGUUGAAGGUGCCGUAACAGGCACUGGAGGACCGAACCAGUUUCCGUUAAAAAGGGCUUGGAUGAGUUGAGGGUAGGAGUGAAAGGCCAAUCAAACUGGGAGAUAGCUCGUACUCCCCGAAAUGUCUUUAGGGACAGCCUCGACGAAACGUACGUGAGGUAGAGAUACUGAUAGGACGAGAGGGCUUCGCCGCCUAUCGAGUCCUGCCAAACUCCGAAUGCGCGUACGUCAUGCGUCGGGAGUGAGUCGACGGGUGCUAAUAUCCGCCGGCGAGAGGGUAAGAGCCCAGACCUCCGGCCAAGGCCCCCAAGAGUGGUUUAAGUUGAGACGGAACAAUGUGGUACCGCAGAGACAGCUAGGAUGUUAGCUUGGAAGCAGCUAUUCAUUCAAAGAGUGCGUAACAGCUCACUAGUCGAGCGGAACUGCGUGGAUGAUGAACGGGCAUCAAGACCACCGCCGAAGCCGAGGGAGCGUAGAGAUACGCUCGGUAGGGGAGCAUUGCGGACAGCGUAGAAGGUGUGACGGGAGUCAUGCUGGAGCGUCCGGAAAAGAAAAUGUAGGCAUGAGUAACGAUAACGCGGAGAGAAAUCCGCGCGCCGAAAGCCCAAGGGUUCCUGAGCGACGUUAACCGUCUCAGGGUAAGUCGGGGACUAAGCGGAAGCCGAGAGGCGCACGCGAUGUGAAAGCGGUAAAGAUUCCGCUACCGGCGCCGCAGGCACAAGGAUGACCGAGGAGUGACACCAUCGCCAGCUGACGGAAUAGCUGGUUGAAGCGGGGUAGGGAGACCGAGCCGCGACAGUACGGAGAGCCUUCGGGCGAUCCGACAGCAUGGUGGAAACAGGCUUGCAAGAAAAGUCCGAGUGCGACAAGAGCGGUGCCGCCCGUACCGGAAACCGACACAGGUGGGCGGGGAGAGAAUCCCGAGGCGCUCGAGUGAAUCACAGCCAAGGAACUAGGCAAAUUAACCCCGUAACUUCGGGAGAAGGGGACCCGCCGCAAGGCGGGCGCAGAGAAAUGGCCCAGGCGACUGUUUACCAAAAACACAUGGCUAUGCGAAAUCGUAAAGAUGACGAAUAUGGCCUGACACCUGCCCGGUGCCGGAAGGUUAAGAGGGGGAGUCCGACGCAAGUCAAAGCUCUGAAUUGAAGCCCCGGUAAACGGCGGCCGUAACUAUAACGGUCCUAAGGUAGCGAAAUUCCUUGUCGGGUAAGUUCCGACCUGCACGAAUGGUGUAACGAUCUGGGCACUGUCUCAGC
rnacentral:rRNA from 1 species